CAAUGUGCUGACGAGUGGCGGACGGGUGAGUAAUACGUAGGUAUCUGCCCUGUAGUGGGGGAUAACCCGGGGAAACCCGGGCUAAUACCGCAUACGCUCUUUUAUCGUUGAGAUAGGAGAGGAAAGCGAGGGACCGAAAGGCCUCGCGCUAGAGGAUGAGCCUACGUCCGAUUAGCUAGUUGGUAGGGUAAAGGCCUACCAAGGCGACGAUCGGUAGCUGGUCUGAGAGGAUGGCCAGCCACACUGGGACUGAGACACGGCCCAGACUCCUACGGGAGGCAGCAGUGGGGAAUGUUGGACAAUGGGGGAAACCCUGAUCCAGCGAUGCCGCGUGGGUGAAGAAGGCCUGCGGGCUGUAAAGCCCUUUCAGUGGGGAAGAAAAACGGAGUGUGAACAGCGCUUCGUCUUGACGUUACCUACAGAAGAAGCACCGGCUAACUCCGUGCCAGCAGCCGCGGUAAUACGGAGGGUGCGAGCGUUAAUCGGAAUCACUGGGCGUAAAGGGCGCGUAGGCGGUUAGGCAAGUCGGAUGUGAAAGCCCUGGGCUUAACCUGGGAAUGGCAUUCGAGACUGUCUAUCUAGAGUCUGGUAGAGGGAAGUGGAAUUUCCGGUGUAGCGGUGAAAUGUGCAGAUAUCGGGAGGAACACCAGUAGCGAAGGCGGCUCGCUGGGCCGUUCCUGACGCUGAGACGCGAAAGCUAGGGGAGCGAACAGGAUUAGAUACCCUGGUAGUCCUAGCCGUAAACGAUGGACACUAGGUGUGGGGGGAGUCGAAUCCCUCUGUGCCGCAGUUAACGCGUAAAGUGUCCCGCCUGGGGAGUACGGCCGCAAGGCUAAAACUCAAAAGAAUUGACGGGGGCCCGCACAAGCAGCGGAGCAUGUUCUUUAAUUCGAUGCAACGCGAAGAACCUUACCUGGACUUGACAUGGUGCUGCAAGCGCACGGAAACGUGUGACCUUCGAGGGUGCACCACAGAUGCUGCAUGGCUGUCGUCAGCUCGUGUCGUGAGAUGUUGGGUUAAGUCCCGCAACGAGCACAACCCCUGUGGCGUGUUGCCAUCAUUAAGUUGGGGACUCACGCCAGACUGCCGGUGACAAACCGGAGGAAGGUGGGGAUGAGGUCAAGUCAUCAUGGCUCUUACGUCCAGGGCUAGAAACGUGCUACAAUGGCUGAUACAAAGGGUUGCAAGACCGCAAGGUGGAGCGAAUCUCAUCAAAGUCAGUCUAAGUUCGGAUCGCAGUCUGCAACUCGACUGCGUGAAGGCGGAGUUGCUAGUAAUCGCGGAUCAGCAUGCC
rnacentral:rRNA from 1 species